UCGCUGUGUGUUAUAUGUGUCACACGGGACUGCCGGUCUUAAGCCGGAGGAAGUGGGGAUGAUGUCAAGUCAGCAUGGCCUUUAUAUCCUGGGCUACGCACACGCUACAAUGGCCAACACAAUAGGUUGCUAAGCCGCGAGGUGGCGCCAAUCCAUAAAGUUGGUCUCAGUUCAGAUUGUAGGCUGCAACCCGCCUGCAUGAAGAUGGAGUUGCUAGUAACCGCAGGUCAGCUAUACUGCGGUGAAUACGUUCCCGGGGCUU
rnacentral:rRNA from 1 species